rnacentral:rRNA from 1 species
UAGGGAAUCUUCGGCAAUGGACGAAAGUCUGACCGAGCAACGCCGCGUGAGUGAAGAAGGUUUUCGGACCGUAAAACUCUGUUGUUAGAGAAGAACAAGGACGUUAGUAACUGAACGUCCCCUGACGGUAUCUAACCAGAAAGCCACGGCUAACUACGUGCCAGCAGCCGCGGUAAUACGUAGGUGGCAAGCGUUGUCCGGAUUUAUUGGGCGUAAAGCGAGCGCAGGCGGUUUCUUAAGUCUGAUGUGAAAGCCCCCGGCUCAACCGGGGAGGGUCAUUGGAAACUGGGAGACUUGAGUGCAGAAGAGGAGAGUGGAAUUCCAUGUGUAGCGGUGAAAUGCGUAGAUAUAUGGAGGAACACCAGUGGCGAAGGCGGCUCUCUGGUCUGUAAAUGACGCUGAGGCUCGAAAGCGUGGGGAGCAAACAGG